GCGCAGCAGGCGAGAAUCCUCCGCAAUACACGAAAGUGUGAUGGGGCCAUCCCGAGUGCCGUCCGCUGAGGACGGCUUUUCCCCAGUGUACAUAGCUGGGGGAAUAAGGAGAGGGCAAGCCUGGUGUCAGCCGCCGCGGUAAUACCAGCUCUCCGAGUGGUGGGGACGCUUAUUGGGCCUAAAGCAUCCGUAGCCGGCUGGGCAAGUCCUCCGUUAAAUCCAACGAUUCAAUCGUUGGGCUGCGGGGGAUACUGUCCAGCGUU
rnacentral:rRNA from 1 species